UACGAAGGGGGCUAGCGUUGUUCGGAAUUACUGGGCGUAAAGCGUAUGUAGGCGGAUCGUUAAGUCGGGGGUGAAAUCCCGAGGCUCAACCUCGGAACUGCCUUCGAUACUGGCGAUCUUCGAGUCCGGGAGAGGUGAGUGGAACUCCGAGUGUAGAGGUGAAAUUCGUAGAUAUUCGGAAGAACACCAGUGGCGAAGGCGGCUCACUGGCCCGGUACUGACGCUGAGACGCGAAAGCGUGGGGAGCAAACAGG
rnacentral:rRNA from 1 species